AAAUUGAAGAGUUUGAUCAUGGCUCAGAUUGAACGCUGGCGGCAGGCCUAACACAUGCAAGUCGAACGGUAACAGGAAUCAGCUUGCUGAUUCGCUGACGAGUGGCGGACGGGUGAGUAAUGUCUGGGAAACUGCCUGAUGGAGGGGGAUAACUACUGGAAACGGUAGCUAAUACCGCAUAAUGUCGCAAGACCAAAGAGGGGGACCUUCGGGCCUCUUGCCAUCGGAUGUGCCCAGAUGGGAUUAGCUAGUAGGUGGGGUAACGGCUCACCUAGGCGACGAUCCCUAGCUGGUCUGAGAGGAUGACCAGCCACACUGGAACUGAGACACGGUCCAGACUCCUACGGGAGGCAGCAGUGGGGAAUAUUGCACAAUGGGCGCAAGCCUGAUGCAGCCAUGCCGCGUGUAUGAAGAAGGCCUUCGGGUUGUAAAGUACUUUCAGCGGGGAGGAAGGGAGUAAAGUUAAUACCUUUGCUCAUUGACGUUACCCGCAGAAGAAGCACCGGCUAACUCCGUGCCAGCAGCCGCGGUAAUACGGAGGGUGCAAGCGUUAAUCGGAAUUACUGGGCGUAAAGCGCACGCAGGCGGUUUGUUAAGUCAGAUGUGAAAUCCCCGGGCUCAACCUGGGAACUGCAUCUGAUACUGGCAAGCUUGAGUCUCGUAGAGGGGGGUAGAAUUCCAGGUGUAGCGGUGAAAUGCGUAGAGAUCUGGAGGAAUACCGGUGGCGAAGGCGGCCCCCUGGACGAAGACUGACGCUCAGGUGCGAAAGCGUGGGGAGCAAACAGGAUUAGAUACCCUGGUAGUCCACGCCGUAAACGAUGUCGACUUGGAGGUUGUGCCCUUGAGGCGUGGCUUCCGGAGCUAACGCGUUAAGUCGACCGCCUGGGGAGUACGGCCGCAAGGUUAAAACUCAAAUGAAUUGACGGGGGCCCGCACAAGCGGUGGAGCAUGUGGUUUAAUUCGAUGCAACGCGAAGAACCUUACCUGGUCUUGACAUCCACGGAAGUUUUCAGAGAUGAGAAUGUGCCUUCGGGAACCGUGAGACAGGUGCUGCAUGGCUGUCGUCAGCUCGUGUUGUGAAAUGUUGGGUUAAGUCCCGCAACGAGCGCAACCCUUAUCCUUUGUUGCCAGCGGUCCGGCCGGGAACUCAAAGGAGACUGCCAGUGAUAAACUGGAGGAAGGUGGGGAUGACGUCAAGUCAUCAUGGCCCUUACGACCAGGGCUACACACGUGCUACAAUGGCGCAUACAAAGAGAAGCGACCUCGCGAGAGUAAGCGGACCUCAUAAAGUGCGUCGUAGUCCGGAUUGGAGUCUGCAACUCGACUCCAUGAAGUCGGAAUCGCUAGUAAUCGUGGAUCAGAAUGCCACGGUGAAUACGUUCCCGGGCCUUGUACACACCGCCCGUCACACCAUGGGAGUGGGUUGCAAAAGAAGUAGGUAGCUUAACCUUCGGGAGGGCGCUUACCACUUUGUGAUUCAUGACUGGGGUGAAGUCGUAACAAGGUAACCGUAGGGGAACCUGCGGUUGGAUCACCUCCUUA
rnacentral:rRNA from 1 species